rnacentral:rRNA from 1 species
AACUCGGGUGAAGGAACUAGGCAAAAUGGUACCGUAACUUCGGGAGAAGGUACGCUCUUGGCGGUGAAGUCCCUUGCGGAUGGAGCUACUAGGAGUCGCAGAUACCAGGUGGCUGCAACUGUUUAUUAAAAACACAGCACUGUGCAAAAUCGUAAGAUGACGUAUACGGUGUGACGCCUGCCCGGUGCCGGAAGGUUAAUUGAUGGGGUUAGACUUCGGUCGAAGCUCUUGAUCGAAGCCCCGGUAAACGGCGGCCGUAACUAUAACGGUCCUAAGGUAGCGAAAUUCCUUGUCGGGUAAGUUCCGACCUGCACGAAUGGCGUAAUGAUGGCCACGCUGUCUCCACCCGAGACUCAGUGAAAUUGAAAUCGCUGUGAAGAUGCAGUGUACCCGCGGCUAGACGGAAAGACCCCGUGAACCUUUACUACAGCUUGGCACUGAACAUUGAACCUACAUGUGUAGGAUAGGUGGGAGACUUUGAAACUUCGUCGCUAGAUGGAGUGGAGUCAACCUUGAAAUACCACCCUUGUACGUUUGAUGUUCUAACGUUGGCCCCUUAUCGGGGUUGCGGACAGUGCCUGGUGGGUAGUUUGACUGGGGCGGUCUCCUCCCAAAGAGUAACGGAGGAGCACGAAGGUGGGCUAAACACGGUUGGACAUCGUGUGGUUAGUGCAAUGGCAUAAGCCCGCUUGACUGCGAGAAUGACAAUUCGAGCAGGUGCGAAAGCAGGUCAUAGUGAUCCGGUGGUUCUGAAUGGAAGGGCCAUCGCUCAACGGAUAAAAGGUACUCCGGGGAUAACAGGCUGAUACCGCCCAAGAGUUCAUAUCGACGGCGGUGUUUGGCACCUCGAUGUCGGCUCAUCACAUCCUGGGGCUGAAGUCGGUCCCAAGGGUAUGGCUGUUCGCCAUUUAAAGUGGUACGCGAGCUGGGUUUAGAACGUCGUGAGACAGUUCGGUCCCUAUCUGCCGUGGGCGUUGGAAGAUUGAAGGGGGCUGCUCCUAGUACGAGAGGACCGGAGUGGACGAACCUCUGGUGUUCGGGUUGUCACGCCAGUGGCAUUGCCCGGUAGCUAAGUUCGGAAUCGAUAAGCGCUGAAAGCAUCUAAGCGCGAAGCGAGCCCUGAGAUGAGUCUUCCCUGGCACUUUAAGUGCCCUUAAGGGUUGUUCAAGACUAGAACGUUGAUAGGCAGGGUGUGUAAGUGCUGUGAGGCAUUGAGCUAACCUGUACUAAUUGCCCGUGAGGCUUAACCAUACAACACCCAAG